rnacentral:misc_RNA from 1 species
AAAAAACACAGAAAGUUCAAAGACCCAAUCAUUAACUUCCACUAAUAGACAGUCCAUAAAAUUAACCAUGCACAACAAUCUUUAACAAAAUUUUAAAAAUCAAACCAAUAAAAGGAGCCAGAGAAGUUAAAACCCUAGACUUUGAAUGCGAAAAAAUGAAGGGGGCUUCUUCUUCUCUCUCGCUCUCUUUUUAUUUAAAAAAAUAAAUAAUAAAAUGUAUGUUGUUUGCGUAAAAUACCGAAAUCUAGUCUGAAUUAAACUUAACACCGAUCCAAAAGCUUAAUAUGGGGUGACAGAGUUCCUUCAGGAGCGAAAAAUUACAACAAUAGCAAUUGAAAAAAAAAAAAAAU